rnacentral:lncRNA from 1 species
UUAUGAAGUUAAAAUCCUUUCAAUAGAAUCUCUGGCUGCAAUCUUCUGAUUUGUGUAUGGCUUGAGAAUUGAAAAAGAAAAAGAAAAAAAAUAUUAUUCAUACUGCUCUUUAUUGCUCAUCAAAUAAACUGGAGGAAUUCUUAUAUAGAACUUGUAUGUCCCAGUUCUAGAGCACUGUCCUCCUUAUUGGUACACUUGAUAUCUAGAACUAGUCAAAGCUGAUCGGGUACUUAGGUUGUUUGUUUGGUCGAAAGAGCCCGAAAAAUUUCUCAUAAUCGGGGCUCUUCUGAUCUUCGUCAAACAUAGCAAAAAUGUAAGUUUCUAUUGCUUUUCCAGGCCUCUUUGGGCUUCCUGUCUUUACACGUUGCACCAAAUUCGUAUUAUAGGUCCUUGAGUUAUCAAUGGACGUGUCUGGUCCUCCUCCAUCCGAAGGCCAACCACUCUCGGAUACAACAAUAUCCAGAGUUGAGCCACCAGACUUUUCAAGGGCUGCGUACAUGGCAUCUAGUAAGGCGUAGAAAAGAUUUUGGUAACGCGUUCCAUCAGGCACUGUAAUUCCAUCUGACGUAAAAAGAGCAUACUCGAGAGUAAUCUGUUGUGGAUUAUCUUUGCGUGCAAAAUACGGGUAUAUGUUGACAAGUAGAGGGGCUUUGUUGUUUACCAAGAAGUCAAUGAUCCCUUGAAUAUAUUCUCGAACUGGAGCUUGAAAUACACCAUUUGAUGGGGGAUAAGAAUUUUCGAUCAUACCAGUUUCAAUGGAAGUAGAAACCUUAAUCUGGUUCCCAAGUCCAGCUGCAGAAAUUGCAGUUUGAAUAUUUCUCAUGGCAGGGAGGACAAACGGUACAUACUGAGAUGUGUCCGAUUUCAAGGGACUCACUUCGUUUCCAACUGCAAUGUAUCUAAACUUGACAUUAGGAUAGUUUCUUACAUUGUUUUGAACCCAAGUAUCUGCAUUACUUUGGCUAGCAGCAAGAUUCUGAAGGACAUCCUGGUUUGGGACGCCUAGUAUGAGCUCAAUGUUGGAGCCUCCAAGUGCCUGAAGAGUAGCCUGAUCUGGGUCGUAGAUUCUCAUUCUUCGGAUGUUAUUCUGGUUGUAUAGCGCGAUGACUUCUGCUUGAGGUGGUAAUCCAUUCCCGUUCCUUCCAUAACAAACCCCUGUCUGAGCCACUGUAUCAUAAUGAACAUAAAAUAAGCCUAUUAUUACACAAA